GUUCAGCAGCUGGGCUGCAGGGAUCUCAGUGGGCCUGGGUGCUGGGUACCAGGGAGUUGGACUGCAGGGAUCUCAGUGGGGAGGGGGCUGGGCUACAGGACCCGGCAGGGGGCUGGGUGCCAGGGAGCUGGGCUGCAGGGAUCCCAGCAGGGCAGGGAGCUGAGGUGCAGGGAUUCCAGCAGGGCACAUUGCUGGGUGCCGGGGUGCUGGGCUGCAGGGAUCAGAGGCACAGGGUGCUGGGUGUCAGGGAGCUACAUUGCAGGGGUCCCAGUGGGACAGGGUGCUGAGUGCCAGGGAUCUGGGUUGCAGAGGUCCCAGCGGGGCAGGGAGCUGGGUGCCAGGGGGCUGACUGGAGCUCUGCAGGGAUCCCAGCAGUGCACUUGCCCCUAGUACACUUCCCACCAUGGCUGGGUCCGACCUGGUGCAGGAGCUGCAGUUGGAGGUUACCUGCUCCAUCUGCACCAAGUACAUGGAGGUGCCUGUGAUGCUGGACUGUGGGCACAACUACUGUGAGGACUGCAUCAGCCGGCACUGGGACAGGGUGGAAGAGGAGGAGGAGCCAAGGCAGUGCCCCCUGUGCCGCCGGUCCUUCCGACAGCGCAGCUUCCACCACAACAAGUCGCUGGCCAACAUGGCGGAGAUCGUGCAGCGGUUCCCCUACCAGGAUAAGGCCCAGCAUGUGCGCUCCACAUCCAGCUCCACCGUGGGGAAGGACCCCCAGGGGCAGCAGGAGAGUUUCAGGCAGCGUCUGGAGACUCUGAAGAGGGACCUGGAGAUUGUGCUGAGCCUCCCAUGCGAUGGAGAGAUGCGAGAGCACUGCGACCUCCAAGCAGGCGCCGCUGACAACUCACUAUCUGCCUUGCAGCAUCUGCUCCACUUCCUGCAGGAUGGGCAGCAGAUGAUCCUUCAGAAGCUGCAGGAGAUGGAGGAGAGGAAUGGCACAAGGGAGGAGGGGGAAGAGGAGCCAGACCCAGAGCAGCAGGAUGAAAAUAUCACCUUGAGCAGGUCUGGCAGUGAGAAGUCCUCUAAGUCCCGCUCACAGUCGCCAGAGCCGUGUGACUGCCGGCUGCCCCUGCUGAACAGCGUCCAGAGGAUACAGAUGAUGGGUUACAGAGUGGACGUGACUCUGAAUCCUAAAACAGCCAACCCUCAGCUUGUCCUGUCCAGUGACAGGAGGAGUGUGCGUCUUGGAGAUGAGCGGAAGGACCUGCUCAACUGCCACGAGAGAUUCGACACAGCUCCUUGCGUCCUGGCCAAUGAAGGGUUCUCAUUUGGCAGAUAUUACUGGGAAGUGGAGGUGUGGGAUGCUGGCUGCUGGGCUGUGGGAGUGGCCAGGAAGUCAGUGAAAAGGAAGGGACAUCUCAGACUCACACCUGAGCAUGGCUUCUGGACUAUCGAGAUGCACAUGGGCAAAUACUGGGCUCUCAACACCUCCCUGGCCCUUGUGUACUGCAACGAGAGGCUUCACAGGGUUGGGAUUUACCUCGACUACACGGAGGGGCAGGUGGCCUUUUACAAUGCUGAGUCCUUGGCCCAUCUCUACACUUUCACCACCUCUUUCACGGAGGAAAUUUUCCCUUUCUUCUACACCAAGGACAAGACGACCCCACUGGUCAUUAAUAGGUCCGAGAUUGAGGGAUGGAUUCCUCUGACUGAACAGACACAGCCUAGUCCAGCCCCCAUCAUUUGACUUGUGUGUGCCUUCCACUGUCCCUGGAACAGACAGAACAUGAGCAUGUCGCUCACAUCCACUUUGCAGUCAAAUGUCCCAUUUUAAUGCCAUUUAAACAUUGCCUUUGGAUUUUUUUUUCUGACUGAAAGUUUGUCAACGUGGAUCUUGGACACUGUGGGGUUGGUGAUGCUGCCAUUCCCUUGAAACCAUCACACCAUGGACCAACCUGGCAUUGCCACAGCAACAAUGCCUUCGUCGUCAUGGCAACUGUGGCCUGUGGAUGUGAAAAAACCCUC